rnacentral:tRNA from 1 species
GGGGAUUUAGCUCAGUGGUAGAGCUCUUGCUUAGCAAGCACAAGGCCCUGGGUUCGGUUCCCAGCUCCG